rnacentral:misc_RNA from 1 species
AACCAUUCUCACCUGCGGCUAGACCUGCGGAGGGAUCAUUAUUGAAUAAACUUGGUUUAGGUUGUGGCUGGCUCUUUGGGGCAUGUGCACACUUAUUCCGACUUUAUUAACCACCUGUGCACUUUAUGUAGAUCUUGAAUAAUUCUCGAAGUUAACAACUCGGAUCAAAGAAUUGCAGGUACAGUACUUGUGCCAGCUUUUCUUUACUAUUCAGAUCUAUGCUUUUAAAUACACCAAUAA